CAGGAUUUAGUUUUAAGCCUGUCCUAGUGCACAGGCUCAAAUUGAGCAAAUGUGUCUUCUGCCAUCCAUGUGGAGCGUUUUGACUCCUUCCUUAGCCCUGUGGUAUUCUGGGAGGUUAGGCUCGCUGCUUAGAGAAUUAUGUUGUGGAUUAAAACCAGACCAGGUGGAAGGGAAGCCUGUGACAAACAAAAGCCAUGACCUUCUCUGAGGUUUAAGAAAGACUUACUUGAAUUCUGCCUUUUCUCCUUUCUGAUGCUGAUGGCAACAAACUGGGGUAGAUCAAGUGGUUAAGAUGCUGUCUGAAGAGGCCAUGACUUGAGAUCCCGGUCCUGCCCUGCCUCACUCACUGGCUGAGCAAUCCACUUGAGCUUUCUGGGACUCAGUGUCCUCAUGUAUAAAAAGAGGGAGUUGAAUGAGAUGAGCUCUUUCAAACUCAACAUUCACUUUCCCAGGUAAGGGGGCAGGCAGACAGUAGAAGAGCCUUCACAGAUUCUCCCACCAGAAUACCACACUUACAGUACUUGUAUUCUUUAUCUUAGAUGCCAUUGACAUUGCGAUAGUGUGUAAUGAUAUAGUCAUUGUCCAUAAAAUAUUUAAUAUUUCCUUUAUCCUCCCUGUCAUCCAGGACACUAUACAAAUAUAAGGGCAGGUAACAACCUUCUGUUCCAGUUUCAAAGACAAGUAUGCUAAGA
rnacentral:lncRNA from 10 species